CACAAGCAGCAGCUCCACGUACUUCGUAGCCUGCAGAGCUUCCCGCCUCACCUGUGGCCAUGGAGCCCUGGUGGCCGCAGGCUCCUGCUGGCAUCUUCAGGUCAUCCAGCCUGUAGAUCCGGUGCUGGUCUGUGCUGUCAGGAAGCGGCUCCAGGACAUAGCUGAAAUUGCUUCUCAGUACGAUGAGGCCUCGCAGCCCUUGACACGAACUGAGCGUCACGCUGGAGUGCUCUCUGCCCCGCACCACCCCCUGGUAAAAGCAGUGCUCAGUGUGGGCCAGUGGGAUGGUCCGUGCUUGUCCUGUCUGGCUGUAGUGAGUCUCAGUGUAGCCUGGUGCAAACAGGUCUCCAUUUUUCUCUAAGUCCAAGAUGAGCUCCUGGCCUUCUGCCCGUAUCCUAACUUCAGCUCGGAGUGGAUGCUGCUCUCCGCCGGGGCUCCGCAGCACGUCCCAGCUCGACACCAGCACGGCGGGCUGCGGCUCGGUGCUACCAGCCUCCGCGCUGCACGGCGGCGGCUGCAGCAGCAGCGAGAGGGCGAUCCCGCAGAGCAGCCCCCAGCCCCGCAUGGCUCCACGCUGGACUCGGCUCGUCACCGCAACCCCUCGUAUAUAGAAGCUCCCGGCCCGG
rnacentral:lncRNA from 1 species